GCGCGGCCGUCAAGACCAGAGGACGCCAUGGGCGCCUGCCUUGGAGCUCCCCUGCCAUGGACCUGAUCUGGCCGUCAACUCGCCACCCCAUGCGUGCUCCGGAUCCGGCCGAUCCCGCGCCGCUCAUGCCCUGGUGGCCCUGCCGACAUCGUCGCCUAGGUGAGCAGCAGCUGCACUGCGACGUUGCCCGCCUCCUGUCUCCCUCUCUAUCUCUCCCCUAUCUCUCUCUGAACCCUCUCUAUUUUCUUCAACAGGAAGACCACCAUGCCCGCUGCAGGAGCUUCGAGCCGGAUCUGGCCCCUCUCCGACCUCCCUCGCCGUCCUUCAUCCGUUCCCGAUAUCCUCCCGGCGCCGGGAGCUCAGGCGAGCACCGCCACAAGACCCUGCCUCCUCUGCCCCGUAGCCCGCCAUGGAGGUCGCCGCCUCUCCCGUCUCGAUCCGUCUGCGGCCGGAUCCACGGCGGAGC
rnacentral:lncRNA from 1 species